AAAUCUUUAGGUCUAAUCCACUUGAAACCCUAAAACUAUAAAUGCAUCUCAUCUUCCACACAAGUAACCCUAGCCCCCUUCUACCCUUCACUGAUAUCUCUACAUCUCUCUACACUCCGGCAACCGGAGCCGAAGUCCGGCAAGCUCCGGCGACCCCCUCCUUCUCUCUGAUCAAGCACCACCAUCACCCUCCUCCUCCCUUUUUCACGCUCACACCUGGCCGACCACCUCCAUUUUGCGAAAACAGAACCUUCUUCACUGUGUACUUCCUCACGCCACCACUAUUCCUGAUUCGCUGAACCUUACACCCUCGCCACUCUCGAAGACACCUCUCGAAUAAGCGAACACGAAGCAAGACGACCGGAGACACCCGAAGAGUUCGCCGGAGUUCGAAGUUCGCUACAUCGGAAGUUCACGACAGAACCGCGUAACAUUCGUUUCGGGUAAUCGUGUUCGUUCUCUUGGAAUUCUCAAAUCUUUACUCGUGCAUUAUUUCGAGAAAUUCUCAUACGCAACCAACGAUGGUGAAGGAUAACAAGGGAAACGAGAAACAUCACCCCAUGCAUGAAAACAGGACUAUCCGACAAAAAAAUUUCUUCAUUACAGCAAGCUCAGCACGGCCCGUGUCCACCCGACACGGCCCCGUGCUGCACAAUCUGCAGAAAACGCCCAGUUCAGGUAACUGGACACGG